rnacentral:lncRNA from 10 species
CCCAGGAGGCAGAGCUUGCAGUGAGCGGAGAUCUCGCCACUGCACUCCAACCUGGGCGACAGAGCAAGACUCCGUCUCAAAAAAAAAAAAAAAAAAAAGCAAAGUGGUGCCAGGAUUAAGUCAUUCAAUGCUUUGUAAAUCAGAUUUAAUAAUUAGGAAUAGUGCUAGUCUAUUAAAAACAAAAGACUGUAACAAUUCAGCAAACAAUAGAUUAUAGAAACUGUGAAAUUGACAAAUAAUAUACAAUUCAGAGAAACGUAAGAAAGGUGAUUUAAAAUGGCAAAAUUGGCAAAUUUAUAAGCAGGAAAAGAAGAGGCUUUUUAGUGAACAACCAUUUUCAAUUUCUGGAAUACAGGGAAAUGUUUUGGAAUUUCAAAAUAACUCAUUGUAAGAUGAAGAUUUAAAACAGCAAGAAAAACAUAAUGACCUGUCACUACUGUUCACUGCUGCGAAGAAUUCUACUGAAGUGUUAAUAAACAUCAUCAGUUAGGUAAUCUCAGACUUGAAUUGUGGUGCAAGUCACAAGUAUACAGUGAAAAUGUCUGUCUCUGAAGUAAAACAAAACAAAAAACAAAACAAAACCAGGAGUGUUAAUUUUUUUAGGUAGGUUUGUUUUUCUGAAGUUCUUUAAGUUAAAAAUAAAGACUGGCCGGGCGAAAAGGUUUUGUGGGACAAACUGUCAUUGGGAUAGGUCCUGAAGCUGCAGAUUCAUCAAAAAGUCCAAAAUUAUGCCGGGUGCAGUGGCUCACGCCUGUAAUCCUAGCACUUUGGGAGGUCGAGGUGGGCAGAUCACAAGAGGUCAGGAGUUCAAGACCAGCCUGGUCAACAUGGUGAAACCCCGUCUCUAUUAAAAACACAAAAAUUAGCCGGGUGUGGUGGCACACGCCUAUAAUCCCAGCUACUUGGGAGGCUAAGGCAGGAGAAUUGCUUACACCUGAGAGGUGGAGGUUGCCUUGAGCCAAGAUCACGCCACUACACUCCAGCCUGGGCAACAGAGCAAGACUGUCUGAAAAAAAAAAAAGUACAAAAUUAUAUGGUUCUGAAACUUGGAUAUAUGUCUCUUGAGUAGCUGCAUUGCAAUCUUUUCUUCUUUUCUUUUUUUUUUUUGAGACAGUCUCACUCUGUCACCCAGGCUGGAAUGUGGUGGCGCGAUCUCGGCUCACUGCAAGCUCCACCUCCCGGGUUCACGCCAUUCUCCUGCCUCAGCCUCCCGAGUAGCUGGGACUACAGGUGCCCACCACCACGCCCAGCUAAUUUUUUUUUGUAUUUUUAGUAGAGACGGGGUUUCACUGUUAGCCAGGAUGGUCUGGAUCUCCUGACCUCGUGAUCUGCCCAUCUCAGCCACCCACAAAGUGCUGGGAUUAGAGGCGUGGGCCACCACGCCCAGCCUGCAAUCUUUUCAAUUACUAACACUUGAUCCAAAUGUAAAGCAGCAAAUAGAUUAAAAGAAAACAAACAAACCAAGGCAUUACUUAAGGUGUUUUUCCAAAAAUCCAAUUCCUGGAGCUAGAUGUAUAAAAAGCAUAAAAACAAAAUUAUCAACAACUAGGUUAAUUGUUAGGUGAAGUAGUCACAAAAAACAUCCCAGGGAGAAAGGUUAGGUUUAUGUAACAUGAUGUAAUGGAAACAUCACUAGACAGUAAACCAGAUAACCUGGAUCCCACUCCCAUGAGACAUAACUGGUUAUAUGUACUUGGCCUCAUAGCUAUCUACAUUUCUAUUUCUGCAAGGAACUUAGAAAACUGGAGGGUUUAGACCAGAUGCUUUCUAAGGUUAUCUUACAAUUUAAACUGUUACAAUUUUAAGUCUUCUGAGAAACAUUUGUUAUCAGCCGUAACAGGAAUGUUAUAAUUAGAUGGAAUGUGAGUUGCUAGGAACACAGGUAUGCACAUACAACAAAAUAGUGGGGAUAAAAAUAAUACCUUCUAAGAAUACUUGCAGCCACCAUUGUCCAAACAGACUAAAUUCUUGAAGUGGGAAAAUCAUUGGUCAUAAAUUGAUCUUCCACUUAUAUCAAUAAACCUAAAAAAUAAUGUUAGCAGUGCUUGUUAAAUUUGAGGGCAAUGAUACAUAUAAUUCUAUCUUCUUUAUAGUGCUGUUUCAGACUCUGCUACUCAAUUGUGUUCCCUCCCAAAUUCAUAUGUUGAAGUCCUAAACCUCAGCACCUUAGAAUAUGACCUUAUUUGGAGAUCAGGUCUUUAAGUUAAAAGGAGGACAUUGGGAGGGGCCCUAAUCCAAUCAAUAUGACUGGAGUCUUUAUAAAAACAAGAAAUUUGGCCUGGGGCGGUGCCUCAUGCCUGUAAUCCCAGCACUUUGGGAGACUGAGGCAGGUGGAUCACCUGAGGUCAGGAAUUUGAGACCAGCCUGGCCAACGUGGUGAAACCCCGUUUCUACUAAAAAUACAAAAUUAGCCUGGCAUGGUGGCUGACGCCUGUUAACCCCAGCUACUUGGGAAGCUGAGGCAGCAGAAUCACUUGAACCUGGGAGGCGGAGGUUGCAAUGAGCUGAGAUCGCGCCACUGUACUCCAGCCUGGGCGACAAGAGUGAAAUUCUGUCUCAAAAAAUUAAAAAAGCAAAAAAAAAAAAAAAAAGAGGAAAUUUGGGGGACAGACUUGCACACAGGGAGAACACCAUGUGAACAUGAGGCUAUCCAUCUACAAGCCAAGGACAGACCUGAAACAGAUCCUUCCCCCACAACCCUCAGAAGGAACCAACUGCCAAUAACUCCAUUUUGAAUGUCUGGCCUUCACAACUGUGAGACCAUAAAUUUCUGCUAGGUAGGCAACUCAGUUUGUAGUAAUUUGUUAUGGCAGCCAUACGAACUAAUAUUGAUGCUAAUUUAUCAUUUUAUUAAUAAAUGUUGUAAGUUAUACAUUUUCAUGCCAGCAACCCCUAUCUCCCAGAUCUUCCUAACUUUAA